AUUUGCUUCAGCACCAUAUAUACUGAAAUUGAAAUGAUACAGAGAAGAUCAGCAUGGCUUCUAUACAGGGAUGACAUUCAAAUUCAUAAAGCAUUGCGUAUUUUU
rfam:Canis lupus familiaris chromosome 15, whole genome shotgun sequence.